rnacentral:rRNA from 1 species
GAGUUUGAUCCUGGCUCAGAUUGAACGCUGGCGGCAUGCUUUACACAUGCAAGUCGAACGGCAGCGCGGGGCAACCUGGCGGCGAGUGGCGAACGGGUGAGUAAUAUAUCGGAACGUACCCAAGAGUGGGGGAUAACGUAGCGAAAGUUACGCUAAUACCGCAUACGAUCUAUGGAUGAAAGCAGGGGACCGCAAGGCCUUGUGCUCCUGGAGCGGCCGAUAUCUGAUUAGCUAGUUGGUAGGGUAAAGGCCUACCAAGGCGACGAUCAGUAGCUGGUCUGAGAGGACGACCAGCCACACUGGAACUGAGACACGGUCCAGACUCCUACGGGAGGCAGCAGUGGGGAAUUUUGGACAAUGGGCGCAAGCCUGAUCCAGCAAUGCCGCGUGAGUGAAGAAGGCCUUCGGGUUGUAAAGCUCUUUUGUCAGGGAAGAAACGGUGGAGGUUAAUACCUUCCACUAAUGACGGUACCUGAAGAAUAAGCACCGGCUAACUACGUGCCAGCAGCCGCGGUAAUACGUAGGGUGCAAGCGUUAAUCGGAAUUACUGGGCGUAAAGCGUGCGCAGGCGGUUUUGUAAGUCUGUCGUGAAAGCCCCGGGCUCAACCUGGGAAUUGCGAUGGAGACUGCAAGGCUUGAAUCUGGCAGAGGGGGGUAGAAUUCCACGUGUAGCAGUGAAAUGCGUAGAGAUGUGGAGGAACACCGAUGGCGAAGGCAGCCCCCUGGGUCAAGAUUGACGCUCAUGCACGAAAGCGUGGGGAGCAAACAGGAUUAGAUACCCUGGUAGUCCACGCCCUAAACGAUGUCUACUAGUUGUCGGGUUUUAAUUAACUUGGUAACGCAGCUAACGCGUGAAGUAGACCGCCUGGGGAGUACGGUCGCAAGAUUAAAACUCAAAGGAAUUGACGGGGACCCGCACAAGCGGUGGAUGAUGUGGAUUAAUUCGAUGCAACGCGAAAAACCUUACCUACCCUUGACAUGUACGGAAGGCCGGAGAGAUCUGGCUGUGCUCGAAAGAGAACCGUAACACAGGUGCUGCAUGGCUGUCGUCAGCUCGUGUCGUGAGAUG